rnacentral:ncRNA from 2 species
AACGGUUUUUCCUGCUGACGGAACGUUGUGGAGCACCACAGUGCAGGAAAUGCCGGGAACUUUAUGCCGACCGUCUGGGCAGCCUUG